rnacentral:rRNA from 1 species
GUGCCAGCAGCCGCGGUAAUACGGAGGGAGCUAGCGUUAUUCGGAAUUACUGGGCGUAAAGCGCACGUAGGCGGCUUUGUAAGUCAGAGGUGAAAGCCCGGGGCUCAACCCCGGAAUAGCCUUUGAAACUAGAUAGCUUGAAUCACGGAGAGGUGGGUGGAAUUCCGAGUGUAGAGGUGAAAUUCGUAGAUAUUCGGAAGAACACCAGUGGCGAAGGCGGCCCACUGGACGUGUAUUGACGCUGAGGUGCGAAAGCGUGGGGAGCAGACAGGAUUAGAAACCCGAGUAGUCC